UUGUUGCGGUUAAAACGUUCGUAGUUGAAUUUGUGUCCCACACGGGUAAUUGGCCCACUUACGGGUUCUUAUUACUUGCCGGCUUGCUGGCUUUAGUGUGCGGACGUUUUACCGGUGAGGGAAACGGUGUAGUUUCGGCUGCAAUACGCCCCUUAUUUAUUUCAUAAACCCGUCUUGGUGCUUUUAAUCGAGUGCCAAUGUGGGCCGGUACUAUUACUUUGAACAAAUUAGAGUGCUUAAAGCAGGCUAAAUUUAAUGAAAGUUAAAACGCCUGAAUAUAUUUUGCAUGGAAUAAUGGAAUAGGACCUCUGUUCUACUUUCAUUGGUUUUUAGACCAAGAGGUAAUGAUUAAUAGAAGCAGUUGGGGGCAUUAGUAUUACGAGGCGAGAGGUGAAAUUCGUAGACCCUCGUAAGACUAACUUAAGCGAAAGCAUUUGCCAAGGAUGUUUUCAUUAAUCAAGAACGAAAGUUAGAGGAUCGAAGGCGAUCAGAUACCGCCCUAGUUCUAACCAUAAACGAUGCCAGCUAGCAAUUGUAUGUAGCUACUAAUUUUGGUUCAUACAGUCGCUUUCCGGGAAACCAAAGCUUUUGGGCUCCGGGGGAAGUAUGGUUGCAAAGCUGAAACUUAA
rnacentral:rRNA from 1 species